rnacentral:rRNA from 1 species
UGAACGCUGGCGGCGUGCUUAACACAUGCAAGUCGUACGAGAACGCUUCAGCUUGCUGAAGCAAGUAAAGUGGCGCACGGGUGAGUAAUGCGUGGGUAAUCUACCUUCGAAUCGGGGAUAACUUCGCGAAAGCGGGGCUAAUACCGGAUAACAUCUAUUUGAUUCUGGUCUUUAAGAUCAAAGGUGGCCUCUACAUGUAAGCUACCGUUCGGGGAUGAGCCCGCGUACCAUUAGCUUGUUGGUAGGGUAACGGCCUACCAAGGCUGCGAUGGUUAGCUGGUCUGAGAGGAUGAUCAGCCACACUGGAACUGACACACGGUCCAGACUCCUACGGGAGGCAGCAGUGAGGAAUUUUGCGCAAUGGGGGAAACCCUGACGCAGCAACGCCGCGUGAGUGAUGAAGGCCUUCGGGUCGUAAAGCUCUGUCAAGUGGGAAGAAACUGGUUUAUGCCAAUACCAUAGAUCACUGACGGUACCACUGAAGGAAGCACCGGCUAACUCC